rnacentral:ncRNA from 1 species
CACAAAGGUUUGGUCCCUGCCUUGUCAUCAAUUCUCACCCAAAUUAUACAUGCAAGUUUCAGCCCACCAGUGAAAACGCCCCCCAACCCCACCCGGGGCAAGGAGCCGGUAUCAGGCACAAUUACUCGCCUAAAACACCUAGCUAAGCCACACCCACAAGGGUUAUCAGCAGUAAUUAACAUUGAAAAUUAACAACAGUUAGAUUCAGUUAAGGUGAUACAGAGCUGGCCAACUCGGUGCCAGCCGCCGCGGUUACACCGAGGGCUCAAAUUGAUAUUUGCCGGCGUAAAGCGUGAUUAAAGGAUCCCACCCUCACUAGAAUUUAACCUAAACUGGGUAGUGAUAAGCCUGUCUUAGGGAGACUCAAACACGAAAGUUAUUCUAGCCACCUCUUAAUUCACGACAGCCAAGACACAAACUGGGAUUAGAGACCCCACUAUGCUUAGCUGUAAACUUUAACCCACACUCAAAUCGCCAGGGAACUACGAGCCAUGCUUAAAACCCAAAGGACUUGACGGUACCCAACAUCCACCUAGAGGAGCCUGUCCUAUAACCGAUGAUCCCCGUUUAACCUCACCCCCUCUAGCCUUUCAGCCUGUAUACUUCCGUCGUCAGCCCACCUCGUGAGUGCCACUUAGUGAGCCACUAGCCUAACCCGCACAUACGUCAGGUCAAAGUGCAGCACAUGAGGGGGGAAGAGAUGGGCUACAUUCUCUAACUUAGAGUACACAAAUGACUGUAUGAAACCCAGUCGGAAGGCGGAUUUAGAAGUAAAAAGAAAAUAGAGUGUUCUUUUUAAUUUGGCACUAGGGUGUGUACACACCGCCCGUCACCCUCAUCAAAGCCACCAAUCAGUAACUAACACCAGAUAGCUCUUAAGAAGAGGUAAGUCGUAACAUGGUAAGCAUACCGGAAGGUGUGCUUGGAGA